UACGUAGGGUGCGAGCGUUAAUCGGAAUUACUGGGCGUAAAGCGUGCGCAGGCGGUUUUGUAAGCCAGGUGUGAAAUCCCCGGGCUCAACCUGGGAAUGGCAUUUGGGACUGCAAGGCUGGAGUGCGGCAGGAGGAGACUGGAAUUCCUGGUGUAGCAGUGAAAUGCGUAGAUAUCAGGAGGAAUACCGAUGGCGAAGGCAGGUCUCUGGGCUGACACUGACGCUCAUGCACGAAAGCGUGGGGAGCAAACAGG
rnacentral:rRNA from 1 species